AUUGAACGCUGGCGGCAUGCCUUACACAUGCAAGUCGAACGGCAGCACGGGUGCUUGCACCUGGUGGCGAGUGGCGAACGGGUGAGUAAUACAUCGGAACAUGUCCUGUAGUGGGGGAUAGCCCGGCGAAAGCCGGAUUAAUACCGCAUACGAUCUACGGAUGAAAGCGGGGGACCUUCGGGCCUCGCGCUAUAGGGUUGGCCGAUGGCUGAUUAGCUAGUUGGUGGGGUAAAGGCCUACCAAGGCGACGAUCAGUAGCUGGUCUGAGAGGACGACCAGCCACACUGGCACUGAGACACGGCCCAGACUCCUACGGGAGGCAGCAGUGGGGAAUUUUGGACAAUGGGGGAAAGCCUGAUCCAGCAAUGCCGCGUGUGUGAAGAAGGCCUUCGGGUUGUAAAGCACUUUUGUCCGGAAAGAAAUCCUUGGCCCUAAUACGGUCGGGGGAUGACGGUACCGGAAGAAUAAGCACCGGCUAACUACGUG
rnacentral:rRNA from 1 species